rnacentral:tRNA from 1 species
GCCCGUCUGGCGAAAUUGGCAGACGCGCCAGCCUCAGGAGCUGGUGUCCUUUGGGACGUCCGAGUUCAAGUCCGGGAAUGGGCA